UGCAGUCGAGCGAAGAGAUGGGAGCUUGCUCCCUGAUCUUAGCGGCGGACGGGUGAGUAACACGUGGGCAACCUGCCCUGCAGACUGGGAUAACUCCGGGAAACCGGAGCUAAUACCGGGUAAUACAUCGCACCGCAUGGUGCAAUGUUGAAAGUUGGCUUUCUGAGCUAACACUGCAGGAUGGGCCCGCGGCGCAUUAGCUAGUUGGUAAGGUAAUGGCUUACCAAGGCAACGAUGCGUAGCCGACCUGAGAGGGUGAUCGGCCACACUGGGACUGAGACACGGCCCAGACUCCUACGGGAGGCAGCAGUAGGGAAUCUUCCGCAAUGGACGAAAGUCUGACGGAGCAACGCCGCGUGAGUGACGAAGGCCUUCGGGUCGUAAAGCUCUGUUGUUAGGGAAGAACAAGUACCGUUCGAAUAGGGCGGUACCUUGACGGUACCUAACCAGAAAGCCACGGCUAACUACGUGCCAGCAGCCGCGGUAAUACGUAGGUGGCAAGCGUUGUCCGGAAUUAUUGGGCGUAAAGCGCGCGCAGGCGGUCUUUUAAGUCUGAUGUGAAAGCCCACGGCUCAACCGUGGAGGGUCAUUGGAAACUGGAGGACUUGAGUGCAGAAGAGGAGAGUGGAAUUCCACGUGUAGCGGUGAAAUGCGUAGAUAUGUGGAGGAACACCAGUGGCGAAGGCGGCUCUCUGGUCUGUAACUGACGCUGAGGCGCGAAAGCGU
rnacentral:rRNA from 2 species